GCGUUAGCGCUGUGAUGCUACUCAGCAAUGCUUAAGCAUCAUUAGCAGUUCAAAAAGAAGAGGAGUCUGAUUUCACAUGUAUCGGAGGAGGCAUGUGCUAGUCUUCACCCUCCUGGUGUGUUGGGGCAUCACUAGUGAUAGAGAAAGUCCUAAUAAGUGGGUUGGGUAAUUGGCCUUGUAAAUUGGGGAGAAAAUGGGAUAAAAAAACAAUAAACAUAUAAUAUUGGUCUUUAGAGGCUCAGAUGUGUUCCCUCUGUAAAACACACUAAAAACAGCUCUGAUUCGGUGACAGGUUAGUGGACAUUUAGUCUUGAAGGGAAAACAUUAUUAUUUUAAUACAUUCGAAGCUCGUGCUAUAAUGUGUAAUAUUGGCACUGCUUUUAUAAAAUAUUUCACCUGGUUUAAACUUGUAAUCCCCUCUAGCACCCCCUUUAGGCAGGUACAUAAAUAUUUACAACAUCUCAGAACUGUCGAAAACAAAUAAAAAAACCCUAAAUAAAAGCCCCUUCUUUUUUAAGCGUGUGCUUUUAUUCACCGGUUUGAGCUUUGCUGGCAUUUUCCCUCACUCCCGCUUCCCGUCACUUAUCCUCAAUUACGUAAGCAACUGUAAUCUAGCGGUGGAACAGUCUGACGCUGUUUCGGUUCUCUCGGGAAUAAAAAAUGGGAGAUAAUGUUGAUUAAGGUAGAGCUCAUGCUGGUGCGUCUCGCUGAAAAGGCACCUGCUUUUCAGAGGCUAUUAUUUUCCGCUGCGACAGUAAACAAGCAGCCCACCUGCUAUGAGCUAGCGGAGUUAGCACACUUAGCUCAGCUGUGCGCCGGCUUUGUUGGCUCAAUAAGGCUGGUGAGCUUGCAGCUGAUCCAGGACUGAGGGUUUUGUUCUGCUGUGGAGACAGAAAUCAAAGGGCAGCUGAGGAAAAACCAACACCUAUCCAAACACUGCCGUGAUCCUGACAGGCCACAAUAACUGAAACGCCAGCUCGUAUCAGCCAGGCCCAUUCAGCGCUCCGUUACUCAGCACACCAGCCAUUUUACAGCCGGUGAUAAUGACCCGGGAGAGAUUAGGGCUGGUUUCUGAGCGAUGGUUAUCAGAGCCGUAUCGGCUCUCGGGCCGGCGUUCGGGUUUUUACUCUAAAUGGUGAGGGAUGUUUUGGAGUGCUGGACCCUGACUGCUCUUAUUACAGCCCGUCCUGCGGUGUGACCUCUUUCUCUGAGGCUAAAACCCUUUAAUAAAUGAAAUAAGACGGA